UUUGGUUCUAGUUGGGCAGUUCCUGUCGAAUCACAGGAGGAGGAGGAGUGUAAUCAUUGCGCAGUGUGUUUCGGCUUCUUGAUUAACAGUUGCAUUGGGCCUCUGAUGUAUGGGAAAAAAAGCUAACCCCAGCUUGAACACUAGAGAAAACUGCUGCAAUUAUGUCAGAAUACAAACUAGCGUCUCCGCCUCUCAGAACAAGCAUCACUUCCACGUGGAUGGCCUCCUCAGCCUCCCACUUCCAGUGCUUACUGGAGUCUAUUCCAAAUAGAUCUCCAUCUAUUGCAAAGCUCCCAUUAAAAAUUCUGGCUAUGGGGGCUGGCCCCGUGGCCGAGUGGUUAAGUUCGCGCGCUCCGCUGCAGGCGGCCCAGUGUUUCGUCGGUUUGAAUACUGGCCGCGGACAUGGCACUGCUCAUCAAGCCACACUGAGGCGGCGUCCCACAUGCCACCACUAGAAGGACCCACAACUAAGAAUGUACAACUAUAUACCGGGGGGCUUUGGGGAGAAAAAGGAAAAAAUAAAAUCUUUAAAAAAA
rnacentral:lncRNA from 1 species